rnacentral:lncRNA from 1 species
GCCUCCCACCCACCCUUCCAGCCCCAGUCCUAAAAGAGCCAUAAUUUACUUCCAAGUAUACUUUUCUGAUCUUUUCCUGUAACACAUUAUGAUAUCUUGAAAUGAUGCUGGGUUUCCUGAGGCUUGUGCUGCUGACCGCCAACCCCACCCUGAGCGACAGAUACUGUAAACAUCCUACACUCUCAGCUGUGGAAAGUAAGAAAGCUGGGAGAAGGCUGUUUACUCUCUCUGCCUUGGAAAUCAACUAAAGAGAAAUGGAUUUGGAGUAUUUUUAUAUGUGUCUUGUAAUUAAUCCUAUCCAGUAUUUAUUUAUGAGGUCAACUCCAGAAGGAAAAAAAGUAAAUUGACUGAGUCAUACUAACAAAUAUACAAUAAUUUGUACGACCAGUUCUCCUUGAUCUGUCU